GAUGAACGCUGGCGGCGUGCCUAAUACAUGCAAGUCGAGCGAACGGACGAGAAGCUUGCUUCUCUGAUGUUAGCGGCGGACGGGUGAGUAACACGUGGAUAACCUACCUAUAAGACUGGGAUAACUUCGGGAAACCGGAGCUAAUACCGGAUAAUAUUUUGAACCGCAUGGUUCAAAAGUGAAAGACGGUCUUGCUGUCACUUAUAGAUGGAUCCGCGCUGCAUUAGCUAGUUGGUAAGGUAACGGCUUACCAAGGCAACGAUGCAUAGCUGACCUGAGAGGGUGAUCGGCCACACUGGAACUGAGACACGGUCCAGACUCCUACGGGAGGCAGCAGUAGGGAAUCUUCCGCAAUGGGCGAAAGCCUGACGGAGCAACGCCGCGUGAGUGAUGAAGGUCUUCGGAUCGUAAAACUCUGUUAUUAGGGAAGAACAUAUGUGUAAGUAACUGUGCACAUCUUGACGGUACCUAAUCAGAAAGCCACGGCUAACUACGUG
rnacentral:rRNA from 1 species